GGGAAUGUGGCUUAGUGGUAGAGUGCUUGCCUAGUAUGUAUGAAGGAAUGGGUUCAAUUCCUCAGUACCA
rnacentral:tRNA from 1 species